ACAGCAGUAGCCACGGUAAUACAGAGGGUGCAAGCGUUAAUCGGAAUUACUGGGCGUAAAGCGCGCGUAGGUGGUUUGUUAAGUUGGAUGUGAAAUCCCCGGGCUCAACCUGGGAACUGCAUCCAAAACUGGCAAGCUAGAGUAUGGUAGAGGGUGGUGGAAUUUCCUGUGUAGCGGUGAAAUGCGUAGAUAUAGGAAGGAACACCAGUGGCGAAGGCGACCACCUGGACUGAUACUGACACUGAGGUGCGAAAGCGUGGGGAGCAAACAGGAUUAGAGACCCCCGUAGUCCCUGUCUCUUAUAC
rnacentral:rRNA from 1 species